UACAAAACCUUUUUUUUAUAUUUACAAAGGUCUGAAGGGCAGUCCACAUCGAAAAAAAAUCAUGUAGACCUUGUGCCAUUAGCCCAAGUAUAUAAAAAAAUUUCCAUGUCUUCUAAAGCAUCUUAACAUCAAUCUGGCUCUAGCACUCAUUCUGGUAAACAUUUACCAUCAGCCAUACAAUCCCCAGGACCAUCAAAAUCUAAUAAGGGGUAUCUAGAAACAUUGCCAUCUGGCAAAAGGUCUUUAGGAUGUUCAGCAUCUUCUCCAUGAGCUUGGUGAACCCACAGAACAAAAGAAUUAAACCAUCUUCCCAGGGGGUUUUCCCAAGAUCCACAUAUUUCUUCUUUACUUUUAUACCAAGACAGAAGGCCAGCUUCCUUCUCCCCAUCUCUGAUAUCUUCAUCCUCUUUGUUCUCCCUCCCAAAUGGCUGUUUACUCUGAACAGAAGGCUAAUUGCUAAAUCCUAGAGGUACUGAAGGAAUUUCUGAGGUGCAGUUGAAGACACGACAAUACUUGUGACAUCACAGAAGAAGCUAGGGCUCUCCAGGAUGUAAGAGAUUUUUCAGGGAGGGCCUAAUGAUGAUAUCACUGAGAAUUGCCAUGGACUACCUGCUGAACUGCUUUACUAACAUUGAGUAGAUUCAAGGGUGCACUUCACAGGAGUGUCUCCUGUGACACAGUGGAAAACUUUACAUACUUGAUCUCUAAAGCUAGGGAAUUCUCUUGGCUUCCUUAAUGAUUACAUGCUCUGAAUGGUGAAAGAUAGCUAGGGACUUGGCAUGGGUAGAAAAGAUUUAGGAACCUAGAGUGGAGGAAAUGAAUGUGGAUAAUAAUUUUAUUCCCAGGUCUAGUUCAAUUUUCUCAGAUUUAUCUGUUUCCCAAACACUAGGAUUUUCCCUAUAGUCCUGUAAUGGAAUGAAUAUUAUAUUAUAUUUUCUUAUUGUACAUUCCAUGAUAGGGGACUUUAUAAUAUUCCUGAAUGUGUACUCAAAAAUUCUUUUUUCCAAUUCCAUUUCUGCAAUGAUUUUUGGCAACAGAGGUGGCCCAAUUAUAGAAUGAGCAUAACAGUGUAAAUACUGUAUACAUACUUCAAUGACACACUCCCAAAUCCUUAUUUUAUCCAAAAAUUACCAGACAUCAAUAAAGGAAAGUACCACAUGGACUAUUUAAUUCGUUUCUCUAGUCCCACUUGAUAUCAGUUCCGCAAUAUCUACCUUCCUGUGUUUCAUUGCCAUACUUGAGGGUUUUGGAUAUUUUACCAUGAUUCAUUAUUAAAGUCAAACAUAAGAUAUAGGAGGAUGGAAAGCGAGAGGAAUGACUUGAGGACCAGUGAAGCCUCAAUAUAAGUAGUUUCAAAAGAACAGGAUGGAGUCUAAUUGGUGUUGCCAUUUGUUGAUUCUACAGUCUUGACCUAGAUGCGCAGAAUUCAUGUUAAAAUUCCAGCUAAAAUUAUAGCUGUAGGAGCCAACAAAAGUACAUAUAUAUACAUCAGCCACCGAAACUACACAAGAUUGAUGGAGGUAAGAAAUGCAUUCUGUCAGAUAUAGAUAUUUCCUGAGAGACACAGCUAGAUUAUACAAAUACAGAAGUGAAUGCUAGUGGCAUACCAGUAAACUGGAAAUGGACUUCUUGUUUUUAGAUUUUAAAAAAAGAUUACAAGAGCUGAAGGGCUUUAACACUACAAGAACAACAAUGCCAAUGAACCAGAGCUUUCUGAUACUAGAACAAUAUUCAAAGAAUGUACAUGGACAGAGCUAUGGCUCCAACUGCAUAUGUGGAAGAGAAUAGACUUGGUGGGCACCAAUGGAAGGAGAAGUCCUUGGUCCUCCCUAGGUUUGACUCCAAGUUCAAGGAACCAUAAGAACAGAGAAGUCCAGAUAAGAACAGAGACGUGCAAAUGCUUCUGAGAGUCUCCCAGCUCCUGAUUCCCUUAUGUGGAAGACUCAGAUCAAUGCUAUCUCUUCAGCGAUAUCACUCAAACCCUACAAAGGACUCACUGAACUUUCCAAAGGACCACAUAUUUCUUCCUUGUUUUUUAUACCAGGAAAGAAGAUCAGCUUUUUUCUCCCUAUUUCUAUUCUCUUCAUUGUCUUUGUUAUCACUCCCAAAUGUGCUCUGAAGUAGAGGCCUAUUAGUAAACCCUAGAAGUACUGAAAGAAUAUCUCAGAGGAAGUUGCAGUCACAACAACACUUGUGACAUCACAGAAGAAUCUAGUGCUCUCCAGGUUAGAAGAGAGUUUUCAGGGAAUGCCUAACAAUGAUGUCACUGAAAACUGUCAUGGCCUACCUGAUGAACACCUUUCCUUACAUUGACCAGAUUCAAGUUUGCACUUUAUAGGACCUUUUCUUCUUGCGAAAAAGUGUAAAGGUCAUGAGUUCUCAGGAAAACAACUGUGCCCUUCACAACACUUGGCUUUUGGAAUAAAGAAAUAAAUGAUAUAAA